AGUGCCGUAGUGUAGAUGGUUCGAUCACACCCGGCUGAUAGCGAGACCACGCAGCCAACCGGGAGACCCGCGUUCGAGUCGCGGCGGGACUG
rnacentral:tRNA from 1 species